rnacentral:piRNA from 2 species
UUCAUGUCAUCUGUUGGAUGAGUUUGGCCA